UUUAUUGACUUUUGAAACGUAACAGCGCGAGAGCAGUCCGCGGACCACGUGACCACAUUCAUCGAUAUGUUUCGUUCGACGUGACGACGACAACUAUUAAUAUUUCGCUGAAGCCAUUCAAAGUACGUGUGUAUUUGCGUGUUCUUCGUGGAAUUGCGCUUUAUCCAUGCUUGUUUGUUAGCGAGAUAGUGCGGGGGACAAAGGAAAAGUGAGAAAUAUACCGUGCUGAAAAACUAAAACGCGAUACGAGCAAAGGAAUUUUUCAUUAAAUUUCAAUUCGUCGUUUUGCUGGCUGUUCGUUUCAAGCUGCGAUGGGUGGAGAAAUGAAAUUUCCGCGAGCAGGCAAAAGCUCGGAGAUGCUAAUCGUGACGGUCUACCGGAGCGCGACAGACUUCCCAGAAGUAGAAAACAAUGUGCUUGGCCAGAAGACGGAAACGAUGGAAGCACUUUGAAAAAUGAGAGCUCGUCUCGAACCUCUCAUCGAGCACGUACAUAUGACGUACAGAUGUAUGUACGAGCUUCCUCAUCGACCGCAAAAAGCCACUCCUCCAUGACGUCAAAAAGUCUUAUGGAAAAAGUAACGACCAGUAAUUUCUUCUUGGAAAAACAAUAACUCACAAAAUUAACCACUUUUCUAUAUGCGUUGGUCGUUCAAUAAACAAACGAAACAAAUUGCUACGUUUACUCACUCAUUCACAAAUUCACUCAUCUCAGCCGCAAAGUAGCACGAAUCAAACUUUAUUCGACGGUCGCUUCACCCAAAACUUCGCAGUGAUAAAACACCCGUAACGUCGGCCAUCGUGAAGGUCGUUGAAAGCUGCCGCAAGAUACGGGUAUUAAGAGAAAGGAACGAUACGGGUGCGCGUAAAAGAUCCGACGUCAAUGGAAUCGGAGCGGAAGGUUGGGAAACGGGGAAACUUCGCCAAGGAAAAGGAAUCUGUGUCCAAAGGGAAAUUACGUCGAGGGUUCGCGCCUCUAGGAGAAACAGCGAAACAGGAAGAAGAAGAAGGUGAAAGAGAAAGGUGUAGGAAGAAUAAAAAAUCGCAGAACGUAAAGUUGAACGAAGAAAUUUACCAAAGGCUUGGGAAGAAAGGGAAGCAAAUGGGAACGUAGAACAAAGCGACGUGGUUGGAUAAAAGGAGGCGGAAAGAGGAGGAAAGAUAUCGAAGGAUAGCAAACGGCGAGCACGACGGAAGAAAACAAACGCUCGUUAACGAGACGCAUCAGGGCAGAUUGAAGAGAUUUCCUGCCGCGGUUUAGCCAACCAACUCUCUCUUUCUACCUCUCUUUCUCUCGCUUCUGCCGCGUAGACCCCAACGACGACCGGGACCAGAGGUUAAUUUAUCGAAUUAAACGUCGUACAAUUGCGUUAUAAGUCCGAGUCACGGGGACUUUUUACCGCUGCGUACAUGUGUGUUAAUAUACGUGUGCCGUUCGUACGGUUCCUCGCGUUGGUCUUCGUCUUCGAGUCCGAACUGAUCGUGCUGUGAAUAGCUUUUAAAACAUAGAACCGAGAGGUCAAAGCGGGAAAUGCUAGAGGAAAUAUUUGACGACUCGGUUUCGUUCUACAGAAUCUCACGGAAUGGAAGUUAGUUAAGCAGAUAGAAGUUUCGUGGGAAUGUUUGUAUUCUUUUUGCAGAAUGCAAAGGAUCGACUAUGAUUCAUCCUGCGUAUACGAUAUAAGUAUUUUAUACGAUCAACGCAAAUAAUCCAAAAACUUUCUUUUUACAUGGAACUUUAAUUUUUGGAAAGAUAAGUCUGAUGACCGAUCGUACAUCUCUCUAGUCGCGUACUUGCGCAACUGUUAACGUUUACGCCAAUAACGUAAUAUACACUCAAUCAUGGACGGUAAGUCUUUAAGCACGAAGAUCGCGUAUCUUUUGAAAACGCAGAAAGCAUACUUGCAUAGCUACACCCUUUGCCAGCUACUCCAAUUGCAAAGUAACCAAAAGGGGCGCAAACAUCGAUUCGGUCGAUUCCUAAUCUAAUCUGAAGGUAGAACGUCGUGGACGAUCUUUAUUCAACGACGCCGGAAGUUACACAACCGCUCGACCGACGAACAGUCCGCAAGUUAUCGUCCAAUCAUAUUUUCCAAUCAUUUUCUCCAGGAAAAUGACAAAUUAUAGAACGAUCCCUUACCGUUGCCUCGAUCAAUGUUCUUCGCUUAUUUUUCGUAUCCUGACUUGCGCGUGCAAUACUCGUAACACGGAUGAAUGUACAUGACACACGGAUGAAUUAAAUAAAAGAUUUCAUUCGAUCAACGGCGUUUCCGCGAAUGCAUAAAGAAUAGGAAAUAAGAAUUUUCUACGUCGGAAGCGCACCUUUCGAAAUAAAACAGUACAGAGAAGAGAGGAAAGAUAGUAUGCGAAUAAUACGAGAACGAGGUGCGUAGUUGGAAGUCAAUCAGCAGAAUACGAGAGAGAUCCUUUGGUCGACGAGAGAUUAUAGGGCAAAAUGAGUUUGCAAACACGACCAGCCACGAUUCAAAGUCGCCAUGGAAUUUCUACAUCACAGAACAGCCAAUGAAAGCAUGGAACAAUGUGGGAUACGCUUCAAGGUUCAUCGAGGCGAACAGUCGACGAGAGGUCUCGAAAUCGGCGCGAUCAAGUGGCUCGCGAAGCCUGGUUCACGCUCGUGGCCACGUAAGCCGAUGUUCAAGCGGUCCAGCGUAGCCCACUGCAAAAGCCGAUUUCGCCGCUGAAUACGGCAAUAUCGAUCUCAAAAUUCCCGGUGCUACGUUGCACACUCGAGGCGUCGAUACAUAGCCAGCCUCACCCGGCCAGAUGUCGCGAGCCACAAUUUUGAAUAGCAUCGGAUCAAUGGAAAUCCCCCGUUUCUAUUUCUCCUCGGGGAUCGUACGGUGUCUAUGGUGUACACACGAUCCAUUCGCUCGGUCUAGGCUAUCCACAAUGGACGAUGGACGAGAAAAUUGGACGAUCGAUAGUCGUUCGGAUGUUCUCUGGGAAAGAUGUAUAAGAAGAUCGAACAUCGAGUCGAGCAUCGAGACGAGUGUAAAGAGAAGUAUCGGGGCGAGCAUCGACGAGAGCAUCGACGAGAGCAUCGACGAGAGCAUCGACGAGAGCAUCGACGAGAGCAUCGAUACGGCGAUUAAUUUAAAUAUAUAUUAGCCAAGGAAGGGUUUUCAUCGGCGAUAGCAGAUCAAAGGGAGAGCAGUGGCUUUGCUAGAAUCGAACGAUAGGUCGCGUGCAAUCAAGCGUACCUUAGCAAGAUGGCUUUGAUCUUGCAUCGAAUAUUCGACCAGAAUCGCUCACCUGACUUUGAGUUGCGGCGUUAAUGGAAUGUAUCGAAUUGAGUCGAUGUUCGAAACGACGGUGAAACUACCGGCUUCCGUGUUUCCAGAAAUGUACACAGGCAAUGGGAAACGUAAAGUCUUCUACAUUGCAACGAUAAACGGCGAAUAAUUCAAUGUUGGUUUACGUAAAACGAUCAGUAUUCCAUCUCGAGAUACGUAAACCUUGCUAUUAGCGAAGCUUGUAAUGCGAUUACGAAGGAAGCUCAGAGUAGAAAUUUCGCAACAAUAGAAGGAACAAUCGUAAAUUUCCUUAGAAAUUUCAAUUUCUUUCGCUACCUUUCAUUUCCGUGAAUUUCUUCUUUCGUUUGCAUCGUAUGCGUACGAAUUAUGUACAAUUAAAUUUGUUAGAGUUUUCCAAUAAGCGUAACGAAUACAACGUGAUAGAUACGUAACUUGGUUGCGAGUUACGUAUCGAAUGGUGUUUCUCUCGCGUGAAUUCUGCUUCGAUUAAGUAGCUUAAGAACUGGAAAAUCUCAUGGAUAAUUCAGUGGAAAAUAACCGAGAAUCUAGUGGCGAGAAAAAUCUUUACCUCGCAACGAGCAACGAGCUAGCGAACACGGCAAGCGUGAGAAAAAGAAUUUCCAAGUUGCGGCAAAAGUUUGCCAACCCCUCUAAUCUAGCCUUUCAUUAACGCCAAAUGAAUACAAAUGGCGAAAGCGUUUCGAAAGCCGCACGCGCGCAACACAGAAAGAGAAAGAAGGGGCGAGAGAAACGGAGAGAGAGCUUUCUCCAGCGUCGAUUCUACGAAAGCGAAUUUAACACGAAUUAAUCCAUUCACGUAUUGCGAAGCACGCCUUUAAUCACGUUCAUAGAAAUACCUUAAACCAACGAACGGACUAAAAUGAGAUUUAUAAGAUGAAAAGUCAGACCACAAACGUGGACAAGACGGAAAAACACUCUCGAAAUUAACACGUAGUACAAUAAAUAAAAAAAAAAAAAAAAAAAAAAUA